ACACCUAUCAAACGGUAACGCAGGUGUCCUAAGGCGAGCUCAGGGAGGACAGAAACCUCCCGUGGAGCAUAAGGGCAAAAGCUCGCUUGAUCUUGAUUUUCAGUAUGAAUACAGACCGUGAAAGCAGGGCCUCACGAUCCUUCUGCCUUUUUGGGUUUUAAGCACGGGGUGUCAGAAAAGUUUCCACACGGAUAACUGGCUUGUGGCGGCCAAGCGUUCAUACCGACGUCGCUUUUUGAUCCUUCGAUGUCGGCUCUUCCUAUCAUUGUGAAGCACCCNGCCCCGGCGGCCGCUCCGAACUCCUAUACGUGAAGUCCCAUUUACUCCCUAAAUACCACUCACUAUUACGGUUUCCCUGGUCCCCGGCCCAAUGUACCCCCGG
rnacentral:rRNA from 1 species